AUUGAACGCUGGCGGCAGGCCUAACACAUGCAAGUCGAGCGGUAGAGAGAAGCUUGCUUCUCUUGAGAGCGGCGGACGGGUGAGUAAUGCCUAGGAAUCUGCCUGGUAGUGGGGGAUAACGUUCGGAAACGGACGCUAAUACCGCAUACGUCCUACGGGAGAAAGCAGGGGACCUUCGGGCCUUGCGCUAUCAGAUGAGCCUAGGUCGGAUUAGCUAGUUGGUGAGGUAAUGGCUCACCAAGGCUACGAUCCGUAACUGGUCUGAGAGGAUGAUCAGUCACACUGGAACUGAGACACGGUCCAGACUCCUACGGGAGGCAGCAGUGGGGAAUAUUGGACAAUGGGCGAAAGCCUGAUCCAGCCAUGCCGCGUGUGUGAAGAAGGUCUUCGGAUUGUAAAGCACUUUAAGUUGGGAGGAAGGGCAGUUACCUAAUACGUAAUUGUUUUGACGUUACCGACAGAAUAAGCACCGGCUAACUCUGUG
rnacentral:rRNA from 1 species